CUGGUUUAGAGCGCACGCCUGAUAAGCGUGAGGUCGAUGGUUCAAGUCCAUUUAGGC
rnacentral:tRNA from 1 species